AUUGAACGCUGGCGGCAGGCCUAACACAUGCAAGUCGAGCGGCGAAAGUUCUUCGGAAUGAGUAAAGCGGCGGACGGGUGAGUAAUACAUGGGAAUCUGCCUGAUAGUGGGGGACAACGUUUCGAAAGGAACGCUAAUACCGCAUACGCCCUACGGGGGAAAGGGGGGGAUCUUCGGACCUCUCGCUAUCAGAUGAGCCC
rnacentral:rRNA from 1 species